GAAUUUUAUAAAAUUAAUAAAUUUUUAUUUUAUAUAUAUUUUAUUUAAUUGGGAGGAUUUUUAAAUUUAACAAACUUUAAAUUUUAAUUUGAUACAUUAAUAUAUGAUAUUUAUAAAAAUUAAUAAAAAUUAUUUAAAUAAAAAUUAAUUACCUUAGGGAUAACAGCAUAAAAUUUUUUUAUAGAUCUUAUAUAUAAAAAUAUUUGU
rnacentral:rRNA from 1 species